GUGAGGACAAUCUGGCUGCAACGUGUGUCACCCCAGUGAUUUCCAGCGUUGAUCUGGCUGGCUAGGCGGUAGGCGGUGUCCCCUUCCUCCCUCAAGUGUGUCUCUCCCGCAGUUACACUCAGUUGAAGAGCCAGCCUUCCCUGAGUAGAGGAGGACAGGUCUUCUGACUGACAAGACUAUACAAGUAGCUGCGCUCCCCUGCUAGAGCCUCCAAACAGGCUCUGUUAUAACUUCCGGGAAGUCUAUGAGCGUCUCCCACUGUAGCUAU
rnacentral:snRNA from 1 species